rnacentral:lncRNA from 1 species
AAGUGUGACUGUUAGCCAGACGGGGGCUUCCUCAGUCACACUUCCCUAAGGCUUUGUUCGGUUGAGAGGGAAGUGAAAGGGAUUUGACAGGGAUUGAGGGGAUUAAAUCCCUAACAAGUCAAAAUCCCCUCCAAUCCUCUCCAAUCCCCUUGGGAGGAGGAUUAACCGAACAAGGCCUAACUUGUGGUGUGGCAAAGUGUGGCAACCUUAGUGUACCAACCAAACAUGCCCUACAUAUUUCAUUGAAUCCUUACCAGAAUACCAACUUUGCCUCAGUCAAACUUGCCUAACUUGUGGUGAGGCAACCUUAGUAUACCAACCAAACAUGCCCUACAUAUUUCAUUGAAUCCUUACCAGAACACCAACUUUGCCCUGUG